GACGAACCGUCCAAACGUUAUUCGGAAUUACUGGGCUUAAAGGGUGCGUAGGCGGCCUGACAAGUUGGGUGUGAAAUACCUCGGCUCAACCGAGGAAUAGCGCUCAAAACUGCCAGGCUUGAGGGAGAUAGAGGUGAGCGGAACUUAAGGUGGAGCGGUGAAAUGCGUUGAUAUCUUAAGGAACACCCGUGGCGAAAGCGGCUCACUGGAUCUUUUCUGACGCUGAUGCACGAAAGCUAGGGGAGCAAACGGG
rnacentral:rRNA from 1 species